UACGGGGGGGGCAAGCGUUGUUCGGAAUUACUGGGCGUAAAGGGCUCGUAGGCGGCCAACUAAGUCAGACGUGAAAUCCCUCGGCUUAACCGGGGAACUGCAUCUGAUACUGGAUGGCUUGAGAUUGGGGAGAGGGAUGCGGAAUUCCAGGUGUAGCGGUGAAAUGCGUAGAUAUCUGGAGGAACACCGGUGGCGAAGGCGGCAUCCUGGACCAACACUGACGCUGAGGAGCGAAAGCCAGGGGAGCAAACGGG
rnacentral:rRNA from 1 species